rnacentral:rRNA from 1 species
UACGGAGGGUGCAAGCGUUAUCCGGAUUUACUGGGUUUAAAGGGUGUGUAGGCGGGUAUUUAAGUCAGUGGUGAAAUCUCCGAGCUCAACUUGGAAACUGCCAUUGAUACUAUAUAUCUUGAAUCUUGUUGAGGUUGGCGGAAUAUGUCAUGUAGCGGUGAAAUGCAUAGAUAUGACAUAGAACACCAAUUGCGAAGGCAGCUUACUACACAAAUAUUGACGCUGAGGCACGAAAGCGUGGGGAUCAAACAGG